AAAAAAAAAAAAAAAAAAAAAAAAAAAAAAAAAGACUAAGGGGAGAUAAGAAAGGGAGUUUAGGCAAAAGGAAAUUAUAGUAAUGCAAAUUAGAGAUUUUGGUGGCCUAGAUGACAUGACAGUGGUGGCAGAGUGGAUCAAAGUAGAAAACAUAGAGAUGGAAAACUCUUGGUGGAUGGCAGUACCAUUAACAGAAAGGAAAGAAUGAGUGGCAUGAUAGAAACCCAUUUACCCUGAUGUGAUUAUUAUGCACUGUAUACCUGUAUCAACAUAUUUCAUGUACCCUAUAAAUGUAUAUACCUACUAUGUACCCACACACACAAUUUUAAUGAGCAUAAAUUUUUUAAAAAAUGAAUAGCUGGAAAGUGAAGAGGAGUACUAAAAAUUUUGUUUGGAGACAUUAAGCUUGAUAUAUGUGUGAGACAACAUUUAAGUGUACAGCACUUAGGUAUCUGUGACUUGAAAACAAUGGUUACUUUUUGGCUGAAGAAAAUAGAUUUGGGAGUUAUCACCAUGCAGUCGGUAUGCAGGGAGAGCUACAAGACUAAAGGACAUCACCUCGGAAGAAAACAUAGAAGAAAACAAGAUCCAAAACUGAGCCCUCAGUAUAAAACAUUCAGAAGUCAGCAGAGGAAGAUGAACACGCAAAACAAACUACAAAGUAACAGCCAGAGAGGGGGAAGAAAACAGCUGAGUGCAAUGUCACAGAAAUGGAGAGAGAAGAAUGUUUGCAGGGAGGUAACAGACAACUGAGCUGGAUGGUGCAAAGAGGUCCGGUAAACUAAGGACAUAAAAUGGCCACUGGAUCUGGUCAUCUUGUAUAGUUUGUUGGCAAUGUUGACAUGAGUUGUGGUGGUAAAGAAUGUGUGGGAGACAAGUAUGUGGAGAAUACCACCAGGUUAUACUUUAAUGCAAAUAUAAUCUUCUGCCAGUUCCUUAAAACCAGCCAAGAGCUACAUGCUGUAUUUGUUAUCCUUCCAGAUUAAAAGCAAAUCAAAUGCAGAUUCUCAAGUUUGACUUCUUCCCUAUACCGCAUAUUUAUGAUAUUAAAAACAAAGUUAAUUUUAGAUUAGUGAAUUUAUUCUCAUGAAUUUUUAUUCAAAAGCAAAAUAUAGGAAGAGGGGGAAAAUUUAAAAAAAAACAAAAUAUGUACGGUUCCAGAUGAUUUCCCAUCAUCCCUGACUGUGGAACAUUCAACGUAUUAUUCCUCGAGCUGCAUACCCACCCACAGCCACAACAUUCACACCUCACGGCUGCUCACGGACACCUCCAAGUAACAUUCCAAUGUUGCCCAAAGUGUAUCUGCAGAGGCUAUUUCCCUAACAAGAACCAAGCCCAACAGUUCUGUGGUCUCAAGCAAACAAGUCUAUGAAAUGGGGCACUCUGCAUUCUGCCUCCACUCCUACUCACCUGGAGUAUGCUCAUUAAAGGGGCUAAUGAGUCCUACACAAAAGAAUCUAAUUUUAUGAACCCUAGGAUUUCCCAAAUUGUCUUCACUACCCUUUUAUUUACAUGUAAUGCCUGUUAACCUUUAAAACCAACUGUGCAAAAGUGCUUUGGGAAACGCUGCUAUACAACUUAUCUUGAAAUUUUCCAUUUCUAGGACACUUUAGUUGUGUUCCUGAAGUUCUUCUAGAACAUUUAACAUAGGACAGAUAUUUCAUCUUGGAGAAUGUCAUUUGGAAGUGAAUUUAAAUUCACCUUUUAAAAAUUACUACAUUGUAAUCCCUAGUCUUCUUAAAAUUGACUGUUUUCAUUAUCCAACUGGUUACCAUUACUUUUCAGAAGACAUCUGUCACUUUAUACUUCCCAUUCUGUUGGCCUUUGUCAGUUUAUCAAAGUUGUAUUAAUAUAAAUACACAUUUAUAAUUGUCAGUGUGGGUAUAAAUCUGUGAGUUUUUAACUUACUAUUUUUAAUGCAUCUUUUCAGGUAUCAACAUAGUCCAUUAUUUAUUCUGACAGAAAUAUGAUAAAAUAUUGCAUAUAUAACUGUUCACUAUUUAGCAAUAGAACAUUUAGGUUGUUUCUAGUUUUUCGGCAUUUUAGAUACAACCAUGAUUCAUGCACUUUUUCCUUCAGGGAGUAAAAGGGAAACCCUCCUUUUUUAGUAUCAAUUUCACUUUAUUUAUAUACUAUUAUUCCCUCCUUAUGGGUAAUUAACACAGCUAAUAAAGCUAACCCGAUAAUAAUCCUGACAAGGUCACCACUAUUCCACUCUUUCUUUAUACACAAAAUGGGAUAACACAUUUUAUUUCACAGAGCUGUUGUGAAGAAAGGACUUAAAACGCUGCCUGACACAUAAUAAGCACUCUACCAUCUUCAUGUCCAGGGAAUGGCCAAAUUCAAUUAUUCUAUCCAUCACACUCAGCACGCUUCUAGUAACUUUUCUGGGCCCAAUGGCUGCAGGUGAAUAUAAAUGAGGGAGAAGUGUGGGGAGAAGCAAGUCUAUGGCUAAUUCAAGAGGAGCUGAGAUCCACUUCAGAAUUGACCAGAACACCUACUACUGAGGAAGAGUUAGGAUCCAGGCUGCAAGUUACCAUGAUCCAAGGUUGAGUCUGAUUGCUGGAAACCAUCAAAAUUCAUUCAGAGCCAAAUUCUGAGAAUAAGGAUGGCUCACACCUGUAAUACCAGCAUUGUGGGAGGCCAAG